rnacentral:ribozyme from 1 species
AACAAUUCCUGGCUGAUACAAGGAUGGAUCUGAAGCCAGCAAAAGGUUGAAACAGGUUCUCUUAUCACUAUGCCUACUCAUUACGUCCGUGUCAUACAUAAUGGUAACAUGUCUCUCAAUUAUCCACGCUUGGGUAUACGAUGAAACCCAACCCCUUGAGUGGAUGACUGUUCAUCAGGGCUCUAUCUAGGAGC